CAGCAGUCGCCGCGGGAAUACGAAGGGUGCAAGCGUUAAUCGGAAUUACUGGGCGUAAAGCGUGCGUAGGCGGUUUGUUAAGUCUGUUGUGAAAUCCCCGGGCUCAACCUGGGAAUGGCAAUGGAUACUGGCAAGCUAGAGUGUGUCAGAGGAUGGUGGAAUUCCCGGUGUAGCGGUGAAAUGCGUAGAGAUCGGGAGGAACAUCAGUGGUGAAGGCGGCCAUCUGGGACAACACUGACGCUGAGGCACGAAAGCGUGGGGAGCAAACAGGAUUAGAUACCCGCGUAGUCCCUGUCUCUUAUAC
rnacentral:rRNA from 1 species